rnacentral:rRNA from 1 species
UACGUAGGGGGCAAGCGUUGUCCGGAAUCAUUGGGCGUAAAGCGCGCGUAGGCGGCCCUGUAAGUCCGUUGUGAAAGUCAAAGGCUCAACCUUUGAAAGCCGAUGGAUACUGCAGGGCUAGAGUCCGGAAGAGGCGAGUGGAAUUCCUGGUGUAGCGGUGGAAUGCGUAGAUAUCAGGAGGAACACCGGUGGUGUAGACGGCUUUCUGGACCAUAACUGACGCUGAGACACGAAAGCGUGGGUAGCAAACAGG